rnacentral:lncRNA from 1 species
CAGCAGUUAAGUGCCCACGUUCUGCUUUGGCAGCCCACAGUUCACAGGUUCGGAUCCUGGGUGUGGACAUGGCACUGCUUGGCAAGCCAUGCUGUAGUAGGCGUCCCACAUGUAAAGUAGAGGAAGAUGGGCACAGAUGUUAGCUCAGGGCCAGUCUUCCUCGGCAAAAAGAGGAGCAUUGGCAGCAGAUGUUAGUUCAGGGCUAAUCUUCCUAAAAAAAAAAAAAAAGAAAGAAAGAAAGAAACUCUUGAGAUUUCAAAAGUACUAGCCGUGAAAGUUUAGGUUUCAAAUUAGGAAGCAUUUUCUUUUGCCAACACCUGUGAUAAAAAGGAAAAUCGUAAGUUGAACACUUAAGGAAAAAACGUGUAAAGACGUAUUGUCAGAGUUCACUUGCAAAGAAUAGAAUCCAUUCUAGCUAGUUAAAAUGGAAAGUAUUUAUUACAGGAUAUUUAGAAACUUUCAGAUUUUGGGGGAGGGAUAAAGAGACAAAGUCUGGGUUGAAUUUUGAGAGAAGAUUCCCAGAACUGCAUUGCAGCCUUGGGACAUUGCACUGGGUUGAAUAGCAUCCCCCCUCCAAUUCAUGUCUACCUGAAACCUGCAAAUGGGAUCUUAUUUGGAAACAGGAUCUUGCAGAUGUAAUCCAUUUAAGAUGAGGUACUACCGGACUACCGUGGGACUUGAUCCAAUGACUGGUGUCCUCAAAAGAAGAAAAAACCGAAAACACACGAAAGAUGGAAAUGUGAAGUUGGGAGGCAGAGACUGGAAUGAUGUAUCUACAAGCCAGGAAAUGCCAAGAAUUGCUGGCAACCAACAGAAACUACAAGAAGCAAGAAGGAUUGCCCCUCGAGCCUUCAGAGAGGGCAUGGCUCCACUGAUAACUUCGUUUCAGACCUCUAACCUCCAGAAUUGUGAAAGGAUAAAUUUUUGUUGUUUUAAGCUACCUUGGUUUGUGGCACUUGGUUAGGGAGCCUAGCAGGCUAAUACAGGCACUAAAGGAGCUGCUGAAUCUUCCAUAGUCAGGGCUCCUCCAGUCCCAGAACCACACUUCUGCCUCCAUAGUUAAUAAGACUUCAAGAUCAGGAAACUUCUACAAUCAGGAAACCAAGAGGGUUGGGCAACCUGUCAUGGACAGGAAGUGUCAUUACUGCUGCAGGCUCCAGAACUGUGCCACAUCUGCUACAAACAGUCCUCACCUUGUCUUAAGACAUCUUGGAGCGGGCUUUGGGCAGUAGGACCCUAGCUAAUACUCCCACAGUAAAAACAAAUGCCUCUACCAUUGUCUUUUCAGCAGUGGAGGAAAACAAAACUGCAGCAGAAGCACAGCCUAGGCCUCACAGUGGCAAGAGCAUCAGAUUGGUUGACGCUAAAGCACAUCCAGGACCCUCGCUCCGAGGGAGUCUGGGAAGUAUAGUCAUUAGUUUUCCAGUCUCCACAGUUCAGGGAGAGGACAGAUGUUAAUCACCAAUCCACCACAUCUACUACAGGCCUCAUCCAAUCAGUUGAAGGCCUUAAGAGAAAAAACUGAAGCUUUCCAGAAAAGGAGGAAUUCUGCCUCAACACUGCAGCAUUAACUUCUGCCUGAGUUUCUACCCUACUGGCGUGUUCUACAUAUUUUGGACUUGUCAGAGCCCACAAUCAUGUGCACCAAUUCCUUAAAAUAAAACUUUACGCAUAUGUUCUAUUGGGUCUGUCUCUCUGGAGAACAUUGCCUGAUACA